rnacentral:rRNA from 1 species
CACGUAGGCGGCUAGGUCCGUCCGAUGUGAAAGCCCCCGGCUCAACCGGGGAAUUGCAUCGGAUACAGCCUGGCUCGAGGACGGUUGGGGUGAGUGGAACUCCUGGUGGAGCGGUGAAAUGCGUAGAUAUCAGGAGGAACACCGGUGGCGAAAGCGGCUCACUGGACCGUUUCUGACGCUGAGGUGCGAAAGCUAGGGGAGCAAACG